GAGUGUAUAGCUCAGUGGUAGAGUGCAUGCCUAGCAUGCAUGAGGUCCUGGGUUCAAUCCCCAGUACCUCCA
rnacentral:tRNA from 1 species